GGGGUGUCACAUGUUUAGGGUUGUCUAUCCAGAUCAAUUAGGAGAGUAAAAUUCUAGGCUUUCAUUUCAGUCUUAGGAUCCUAUAAUCCCGAUCGCAUAGAGUAGAUAUGAUGAGUUUUCGUGAUCAAGGUGGUAGAAUCUCAUUUUGAAGCCAACAAGCCUUGAUAGAUAAUUGAUAUUCAAUACUCCACAUAGCAAAUGCUAAGAGACAUCUUGGGAGGGAAGAUUUUCCAAGUGGGAAAUAACCUGUUUUUUCUCCAGUUAAAUAU
rnacentral:lncRNA from 1 species